GGGCCGGUAGCUCAGUUGGUAGAGCAGAGGCCUUUUAAGCCUCGUGUCCCGGGUUCGAGUCCCGGCCGGCUCA
rnacentral:tRNA from 1 species